rnacentral:rRNA from 1 species
UACAGAGGGUGCGAGCGUUAAUCGGAAUUACUGGGCGUAAAGGGUGCGUAGGUGGUGGCAUAAGUUAGGUGUGAAAGUCCUGGGCUUAACCUGGGGAUUGCGCCUAAUACUGUGAGGCUUGAGUAUUGUAGAGGAAAGUGGAAUUUCCGGUGUAGCGGUGAAAUGCGUAGAUAUCGGAAGGAACAUCAGUGGCGAAGGCGGGUCUCUGGGCCGAUACUGACGCUGAGGAGCGAAAGCGUGGGGAGCGAACAGG